UACGAAGGGGGCUAGCGUUGCUCGGGAAUCACUGGGCGUAAAGCGCACGUAGGCGGAUUGUUAAGUCAGGGGUGAAAUCCUGGAGCUCAACUCCAGAACUGCCUUUGAUACUGGCGAUCUUGAGUCCGGGAGAGGUGAGUGGAACUGCGAGUGUAGAGGUGAAAUUCGUAGAUAUUCGCAAGAACACCAGUGGCGAAGGCGGCUCACUGGCCCGGUACUGACGCUGAGGUGCGAAAGCGUGGGGAGCAAACAGG
rnacentral:rRNA from 1 species